CACCAUUGCCCUCCGGUCGCUGGACGACCCUCCUCACGGAUGGUCAUGUAACCAUCCGGACAGCCCUCCGACGUGAACGAUGUGAAUCGUCCGACGGUGAACGUGUCGAAUGUUAGCUGUAAUUUCAAACAAACGGCAAAAGAGUAAUCACAGUUUCGAAACUGAUAUCAUUGCAUUCCACGCACAGAGAAGCGAGCAUUAAAGAAACAUAUCAAAAGGACAAACACUGAACUAAACAAACUUACAAAAAGAAUUUCGAGAGACAAUCUAUUUUCGCUAAAACACCACACGUGCACGUCUCCUAGAUCAGAACCGGCGGCGGUGAAGUUCAGAUGGCACAAGAACGGCAGUCGAUCCUCCCUUGGCCGACGUACUUCCACUCUGUAGGUCCGGCCAACGUCACCGUACAAGGUUCUAUUGCACGCUGAAAAGCCACGCGGAAGGCGUACGAUCAAACUUUCUCAUAUCAAGUGAAAGAAGAAGGGUUGAACGAAAAACUCACGGCUACAGUAUCUCGGCUCGUCGGACUUGUCGCCGCAGUCAUCUUCGCCAUCGCAGUACUUGUCCUGAGCGACGCAGUUCCCGGUGCCGCACAGGUACUCGGACGGCCUGCACGGGCACAUUCUCCAGGCUGGUCGUCGGCGUGGUGGUCACACUCGACGAGGACUCGGACGACGUCAGGCUCGGAUAGACCGGGUAACCAGGAUAUCCGGAAUAGUCGGAGGAUAUUCCAGG